CUUGAGCACACGAUAUGCACUAGGACAAACACCUGGCUUCCUCUGUGCACCUGAGCAGGUCCUUCACCCCAGCAGGGAGGCCAGUGCCCUUGCCCUGCACAGAAAGCUCCACCGCAACAAGGAUCUGUGGGAAGUCUACAAGACGCAGGGGGCUAGGUCUCUGUUACAUCCCAGCAGACACCACCACAACAUGGCUGUUUAUCUUUGCCCACUCUCAUCAGGAUUCUGAAGCUAAGAUGGCAUAAGGAUUUCGAUUUUUGACUCCUAGACUGUCACCAGAGGAAUUCCAGACUUAGCAAAUGACUGAAAGCAGUGCUUCUGGAACUUCAACUUGCAGCAGAAUUACCGGGAGGCCUUGUUACAGCACAGAUGGCUGGGCCCAGAAGUGUGCAUGCCCCAACAGAUCCUUGGAUGUUCCCAGGCGAUGCUGACACUCCUGAUCUGGAAACCACACUUAGAGUGGCAUGGACUUAAUGCACCACACUAUGGCAGACCCAGAGCAGACUGCACAAAGAAGAGAUACUAAGUUUAUGUGUCUCAGUUUUCCAGACUUACGCAAUGACUUGAAAUAGCACCAUCUCUUAUUACAAAUUCCUGAAAACUUCAAAAUAAGUUAACUGGGGUCCAGUGGAGACUAGAAAAACAAGUGGGAGUUGGAAACUUAAAAAAAAAAAAAAAAAAA